rnacentral:rRNA from 1 species
ACAGUGGACGCGAGCAUCUGUGGCCAAGUUUUUAAGGGCGCACGGUGGAUGCCUUGGCACCAGGAACCGAUGAAGGACGUGGGAGGCCACGAUAGUCCCCGGGGAGUCGUCAACCAGGCUUUGAUCCGGGGGUUUCCGAAUGGGGAAACCCGGCAGUCGUCAUGGGCUGUCACCCACUGCUGAACACAUAGGCAGUGUGGAGGGAACGCGGGGAAGUGAAACAUCUCAGUACCCGCAGGAAGAGAAAACAACCGUGAUUCCGGGAGUAGUGGCGAGCGAAACCGGAUGAGGCCAAACCGUAUGCGUGUGAGACCCGGCAGGGGUUGCGUAUACGGGGUUGUGGGAUCUCUCUUCUGUCGUCUGCCGGCGGCAGGACGAGUCAGAAACCGUUGAUGUAGGCGAAGGACAUGCGAAAGGUCCGGCGUAGAGGGUAAGACCCCCGUAGUCGAAACGUCAGCGGCUCGUUUGAGAGACACCCAAGUAGCACGGGGCCCGAGAAAUCCCGUGUGAAUCUGGCGGGACCACCCGCUAAGCCUAAAUAUUCCCUGGUGACCGAUAGCGGAUAGUACCGUGAGGGAAUGGUGAAAAGUACCGCGGGAGCGGAGUGAAAUAGUACCUGAAACCGUGUGCCUACAAGCCGUGGGAGCGUCGGGUAGGAACUUGUUCCUACCUCGUGACUGCGUGCCUUUUGAAGAAUGAGCCUGCGAGUUUGCGGUGUGUUGCGAGGUUAACCCGGGUGGGGAAGCCGUAGCGAAAGCGAGUCCGAAUAGGGCGACUCAGUAGCACGCUCAAGACCCGAAGCGGAGUGAUCUAGCCAUGGGCAGGUUGAAGCGGAGGUAAGACUUCGUGGAGGACCGAACCCACCAGGGUUGAAAACCUGGGGGAUGACCUGUGGUUAGGGGUGAAAGGCCAAUCAAACUCCGUGAUAGCUGGUUCUCCCCGAAAUGCAUUUAGGUGCAGCGUCGUGUGUUUCUUGCCGGAGGUAGAGCACUGGAUAGGCGAUGGGCCCUACCGGGUUACUGACCUUAGCCAAACUCCGAAUGCCGGUAAGUGAGAGCGCGGCAGUGAGACUGUGGGGGAUAAGCUCCAUGGUCGAGAGGGAAACAGCCCAGAGCAUCGACUAAGGCCCCUAAGCGUACGCUAAGUGGGAAAGGAUGUGGAGUCGCAGAGACAACCAGGAGGUUGGCUUAGAAGCAGCCACCCUUGAAAGAGUGCGUAAUAGCUCACUGGUCUAGUGAUUCCGCGCCGACAAUGUAGCGGGGCUCAAGCGUACCGCCGAAGUCGUGUCAUU